UUUUGCUUCCAGUUUGGCAGGGCGUUGAACUCAACUCGACUCAUCUCAAGAAGGGUCUGCGAAAACAUGAAGCAGCCGACGGUCCUACCUUGAAGUCCUGGUCGGACAGAUAGUCCUCCAGGCGUAGAGGGUCCACUCCCUCUGGUGGCGGUUUCCUGGUCAGCUCCUCGAUGGAGUACUGCUGCUUACUGAGUUUGGACAGCGCCUCCUUCACUAACAUCACCUUGUUCUUGGAGUGCUCGACCUGCAAGCAAAUGGAACUCAGGUUAACAAAUGCACAGUCUUCACAUGACAGCUCUAAAUAUACAUAUGUGGGGGAGGACACAGAACAGAUCUGGUUGGGUGACAUGAUUUGGAUUCUUUCUGGUGUCGACUCCUCCUGUCUUGUCUGUGACACUGACGCCUCUCCGACACACACUCGGACAGUAAAAACAGAGACAUGAGACAGAAUGACGGACAGCGUAGC